GAAAUGCGAUAAGUAAUGUGAAUUGCAGAAUUCAGUGAAUCAUCGAAUCUUUGAACGCACAUUGCGCUCGCCAGUAUUCUGGCGAGCAUGCCUGUUCGAGCGUCAUUUCAACCAUCAAGCUCUGCUUGCGUUGGGGAUCCGCGGCUGCCCGCGGUCCCUCAAAAACAGUGGCGGGCUCGCUAGUCACACCGAGCGUAGUAACUCUACAUCGCUAUGGUCGUGCGGCGGGUUCUUGCCGUAAAACCCCCAACUUCUAAGGUUGACCUCGGAUCAGGUAGGAAUACCCGCUGAACUUAAGC
rnacentral:misc_RNA from 1 species